ACAGCAGUCGCCACGGGAAUACGGAGGGUGCAAGCGUUAAUCGGAAUUACUGGGCGUAAAGCGCACGCAGGCGGUCUGUCAAGUCAGAUGUGAAAUCCCCGGGCUUAACCUGGGAACUGCAUUUGAAACUGGCAGGCUAGAGUCUUGUAGAGUGGGGUAGAAUUCCAGGUGUAGCGGUGAAAUGCGUAGAGAUCUGGAGGAAUACCGGUGGCGAAGGCGGCCCCCUGGACAAAGACUGACGCUCAGGUGCGAAAGCGUGGGGAGCAAACAGGAUUAGAUACCCGUGUAGUCCCUGUCUCUUAUAC
rnacentral:rRNA from 1 species